rnacentral:rRNA from 1 species
GACGAACGCUGGCGGCGUGCUUAACACAUGCAAGUCGAACGCUGAAGCUCAGCUUUUGUUGGGUGGAUGAGUGGCGAACGGGUGAGUAACACGUGAGUAACCUGCCCCCUUCUUUGGGAUAACGCCCGGAAACGGGUGCUAAUACUGGAUAUUCACUGGUCUUCGCAUGGGGGUUGGUGGAAAGGGUUUUUCUGGCGGGGGAUGGGCUCGCGGCCUAUCAGCUUGUUGGUGGGGUGAUGGCCUACCAAGGCUUUGACGGGUAGCCGGCCUGAGAGGGUGACCGGUCACAUUGGGACUGAGAUACGGCCCAGACUCCUACGGGAGGCAGCAGUGGGGAAUAUUGCACAAUGGGCGCAAGCCUGAUGCAGCGACGCCGCGUGAGGGAUGGAGGCCUUCGGGUUGUGAACCUCUUUCGCUCAUGGUCAAGCCGCAACAAUGGUUGUGGUGAGGGUAGUGGGUAAAGAAGCGCCGGCUAACUACGUG